UUGUGAGGUUCUCGGGUUGUGUCUUGAGUGUAAAACACUUGUAAUCUUCAUCUUGUUAUAGUGAAAUUUCUUUUCGCCUCUGCCCGUGGACGUAGGCAUUAAAGCCGAACCACGUAAAUCCUUGUGUUCACUUUUUUUUUCGUUUCGGUCAAUUUACUUGUAGUCAUAUCGGAGUUCUCGAAUCGAUCCUUUCCGCAACAAAUUGGUAUCAGAGCGUAGUUGAAGGAGUGAUAAUAUUUUCUGAAUUGCCCUGUGACUGCAGCUUUGUCUGAUCUUUC
rnacentral:lncRNA from 1 species